CUGACCGUAAACUAUGCCAUCUAACGAGUCGGUAUUGGUUAUUAAUUGCCAUUUUGACGAGUUACCCGGAAACGAAAGUCUUUCGGUUCCGGGGGGAGUAUGGUUGCAAAACUGAAACUUAAAGGGAUUGACGGAAAGUCACCACCAGAAAUGGAGCCUGCGGCUUAAUUUGACUCAACACGGGAAAACUCACCCGGUCUAGACACUAAAAUGAAUGACAGACUGAUAUAUCUCUCAAGAUAUAGUGCAAAGUGGUGCAUGGCCGUUCUUAGUUCGUGGAGUAAUCUGUCUGGUUAAUUUCGAUAACGAACGAGACUAGAACAUAGUUAAUUGUGUGUGAUAUUAUUAUUUUAUUACACGGUGAUAAAUGGAUAUGCAAAUAAAAUUGCCUGAAAACUGGCAAUAACAGGUCUGUUAUGCCCUUAGUUGUCCGGGGCCGCACGCGCGCUACAAUGGAAAUUGCAGUGCGUAUAUACUAUAUCGAAAGAUAUGGUUAAACGUGUCAAAUUAUUCCGCAUUCGGGAUCGGAGACUGUAAUUGUUUUCGUGAACGAGGAACUUCAAGUAAGUGUGUGUCAUUAGCGCACGCUG
rnacentral:rRNA from 1 species